rnacentral:rRNA from 1 species
CAGCUCUCCGAGUGGUAGGGAUGAUUAUUGGGCUUAAAGCGUCCGUAGCCGGCUUAGCAAGUUACCUGUUAAACCCAGCGACUCAAUCGUUGGAUCGCGGGAAAUACUACUAGGCUAGGAGGCGGGAGAGGUCAACGGUACUUCUGGGGUAGGGGUGAAAUCCUAUAAUCCCGGGAGGACCACCAGUGGCGAAGGCUGUUGACUAGAACGCGCUCGACGGUGAGGGACGAAAGCUGGGGGAGCGAACCGGAUUAGAGACCCGCGUAGUCC